AUUCAUUUGUUUUUUAACUUUUGGUUUGGUAUCAUUAGAAUUUUUAGUCUGCUCCAUGUAUAUACUAGAGUUUAUUUAGAUUGUGAAAUAUUCAAAUAUAUCACACUCGCCUAUAUCAAAUAGUCACAGCAUUAUACCUGGAACGUGAUGGUACACUUCCUUUGAAAGUUCAGUAUUUCACAUUUCAUUAUUGUGUGUCAACGGACAACACCUACAUUCUUUUUAAAACUAGAAAACCGAAUCGGAGCAAACAUCCUUUGUGGUCUAGAAUGUCAUCGAGCUAUAUUUGACAGAAAGUUUGUUUCGACAUCCGCGUGAAUCUCGGAUUUUUCACUCACAACAAGGAACAUGGCCAGCAUGAAAAAGAAGAAGGAAAAGGGAGUAUUCGUCUCUCAUCCGUAAUACGUGUUUGGUAGCCGUCAGAAAUGGGUAAUCAGAGCGCAUUGAUAGGAAGGAUGCGAUAUCAAUUUCUUUUUUUUCCCCCCGAUCCAUAGCUUUCUAGAGAAAAACGUCAUUGUUUAACCUGAAUUCGACUAAUCAAAUUAAACUCGUUCUUCCAAGUGAAUGUAAAAUCCAUACAAUCCACCUUUCUGGG